AGUAUUUCUUAUGGAGUGUUACAGUAAUGGCCAAUGUGACACUAAAGGAAAAUUCGGUGACAGUAUGUUAAACAAGACCUUACCGACGGCUCCACUUAACAGGGAUGCAAGAGGCUACAGGGAUUCGUUGCUCUACUGGUCUGUUCCCCAAAUGCUACGCAUUCUCCAUCAUCUGGAAUCAAAAGGGAAAGGAAUACACGAGGAAGAUGAACAUUUGUACUCCAAGAAGUUUUAAAACCAGUGACAGUGUUUGAAGAAUUCCUCCUGAAGACCGGCCCUAAGUCCAUUGUCACCGCCAUUUAAAUUCAGCCUGGAUUCAACGUGCAAGAAUGUCACAUCCUCACUUACGAUCAACAAAGCAAAUCCUCCCCAUUCAAGAAAGAAUUUAAAGACGUUUUAAUGAUCAAGCUUUUCCUGAAUGAUCGACUCUUGGUUUUCCUGGAGAGAUCUCAUUUUACACUAUGGUUUAAACGUCCUCUUCCCCAAAUCUCAUAUGAGAAUGGCUAGUCAGGA